rnacentral:ribozyme from 1 species
UCAGAAGUUUGAGGCCAUAGCACAAGUGUUCACAGGGUGGCCAUGUCAGAUUCAAAAGAUUCUGCAAAUUCUGCU